AUUGAACGCUGGCGGCAUGCCUUGCACAUGCAAGUCGAACGGCAGCACGGGAGCAAUCCUGGUGGCGAGUGGCGAGCGGGUGAGUAAAGUAUCGGAACGUGCCCAGUCGUGGGGGAUAACGUAGCGAAAGUUACGCUAAUACCGCAUACGAUCUAUGGAUGAAAGCGGGGGAUCGCAAGACCUCGCGCGAUUGGAGCGGCCGAUAUCCGAUUAGGUAGUUGGUGGGGUAAAGGCUCACCAAGCCGACGAUCUGUAGCUGGUCUGAGAGGACGACCAGCCACACUGGGACUGAGACUCGGCCCAGACUCCUACGGGAGGCAGCAGUGGGGAAUUUUGGACAAUGGGCGAAAGCCUGAUCCAGCCAUGCCGCGUGCAGGAUGAAGGCCUUCGGGUUGUAAACUGCUUUUGUACGGAACGAAAAGGUUUGGCCUAAUAAGCUGAGCUCAUGACGGUACCGUAAGAAUAAGCACCGGCUAACUCUGUGCCAGCAGCCGCAGUAA
rnacentral:rRNA from 1 species